rnacentral:misc_RNA from 1 species
GAUGAAGAACGUAGCGAAAUGCGAUACUUGGUGUGAAUUGCAGAAUCCCGUGAACCAUCGAGUCUUUGAACGCAAGUUGCGCCCGAAGCCAUUAGGCCGAGGGCACGCCUGCCUGGGCGUCACACGUCGUUGCCCCCCCAUCUACUCCUUCGGGAUUGCGGGGGGAGGAUGAUGGCCUCCCGUGCGCCUCGUCGCGCGGUUGGCCUAAAUGCCAAGUCCUCGGCGACGCACGCCACGACAAUCGGUGGUUGCGAAACCUCGGUUGCCCGUCGUGUGCGGUCGUCGCGCAUCGAGGGCUCGAAAAAAUUGCCGGGCUUCGGCUCGACUUUCAACGCGACCCCAGGUCAGGCGGGGUUACCCGCUGAAUUUAAGCAUAUCAAUAAGCGGAGGA